CACAGCUCGGGUGCCCCAGGACAAUCUUGCCUCGGUGGAAGAAUUUUACAUUUGAAGGUUUGUUCUCAAGAUAAACAAAUUCCAACUGAGAUGCUAUUUUCCUUCUCUUUUUCUCUCCGCCCUCAACUUAAAAGAACUGGUAUAUCUGCUUGUUCCCCAAGUUAGUAUUAAGGGUAAGGUAAACUAAAAGUUAUUUCUUCACUGAGCCACAAUAUGCCUCUAAAUCCAAUUUUUGUUGGCCCCAAGCAAAAACCAGUUAUCUGAUGGAAAGAAAAUGUUUCCCUUUUACAAGAUAUGUAUUUAGUAAACCCAUGCAUUCUACCAAUUGUCAUUAUAUUCCUAUCCUUCAGUUGUUUUCAGAAUGAGUCUACCGACCCAGCCAUCUCCCAGGUUUUGGGGCUCAUGGAAAAGGACAUCUCCCUUGUCUUGCCCAUUCCCACUGUUCCUGUGCACUGUCCUGGUACAGCCAUGUAGAAGGGUUGCCACACUUAUUUCCUGUCCUUCCCCUUCCCCUUCAGAUGAGGACCAGUCUCCAAGAAUCUUUUGAUCCCUUCCAGGUACAACUUCGGACACCAAGUUGGCCCCAGGGUUUGCCGAGCUGAACAAGGCUGAGUGUAACUGUCCCUCCUGCCUGCUGUUGAGGCUGUUCCCUUAAAUUAAUAAGUGGCCACCUCCUGGGCCCUCUCUGCACGGGCAGCAGGUACAGCAGGGCAUCCUGCAUUAUGAACACCUCUGCUUUGUGGUUGAGCUUUACAGCCUCCCAGUGAGGGUAAGAGAGCAGGUGCUACAUUUUACAAGGGCGAGAACUGGGCUUUGUAUCCAGUGACUCUGGAGAUGGCAGGGCUGGGAUUAAGACACGGCUCUGGCUCCAGACCCAGGGCUCUUUCCUUUCUGCCUCCUCCUCGUGUCCCCCUCAAGCACCAUUCCACCGCAGGCAGUGCAAUCCCUCCAUUGCUUAAGCAGAAUCUUGGCUCUGCCACUCAGGAGCUGUGGCACUUUGAGAAAAUUACUCUGUCAUUCUAAGCCUCCAUUUCUUCAUCUGUUAACUGGAGCUAAGAAGAACCCAGUUAAUAUUCCUCCAGGCUAUUUCAAGAGAUAAAUGAGAUGAGGUAGAUGGAGCUCCUGGCACAGCAGACACCUCAUAGAAAAUGCCCAAUAGCUGUUAUUGUUUUAAUCAUUGAUAUUGUUACCUGGCUGAAACUGUUCAGUUUUGGAGCCAAAGCAAACCACUCAACUAGUAGGUCUUAACUCAGUCUUGGUCUUGGCAUCAUUGUUCCUGCAUCCACCUCCCUUUCUUAUUCUAUAAACUAAAGAAUCCGUCCCUUUUAGGCAGAACGUUUGUGGAAUGUUGCUUGAGCUUCUAAGAUACUUAGACAGCUUCCUCCAGGGAGGAUUCUUAGAGACACAGUGAGGAGAGAAAGAUUCAGGCCAGACACCUAUCCUGUGAGGAAGUCAGGCCUCUGGCAGGACGACCCUUCCCUCGUCCUCCCUCGUGGAGCAGAAACCUCACUAGAGGCCACAGUAUCAGGCUGGCUACCUGGUCCAGAAGUGGCCCCAGCCACCCUCUGUCUCCUCCCCAUCCAUUUCACCGUGUCCUGCUGACUCUGCCCCAGUGACAUACGCAGGCUCUCUUGCCACAGCCACUGCCACCAUCGCAGGCCAUGCACCUCUCGCAUGGACAGUUAACUGGCCACUAACGAGUCUCCUUGCCUUCAGACUUUCCUCUCUGAGGAGCUCAGCAGACAGAAGGCACCUCCCAAUGGUGCCCCUUCUCAGCUACCCCCGACUUCACAAAGCAAACGGCUCAGCCCCGGGUCCCAGGCCACACGCCAUCUGGCCAUACCCCACAUCACCCUACUGUCCUGCAUGGUGCCACACUAAUGCUCCAAAUAUCUGCCCAAGGGCCAGACUCACCCAGGUGUUUUAUAAACGUGGGUAUUCCCAGGCCCAACCCAGCCUUACUUACUGACCCUCUCUUGGGGUAGACACCCGAACUCUGCAUUUGUAAAAAGUUCUCCAGGUGGCCGAAGCACAGAGGUGUAUCCUGCAUGCCUGCCAAAGAGAACCUGGCCAGCCCCCUACAUUCGCCACAUAUGCUCGCCUCAGUGUUGCUCUCUCUGCCAACAGCUCCAGUCUCUGCCUACUACAACCCCCUCAUCCUCCCAGGCCCACGUCAAACAUCCACUCCUCCAAAAUCAAGAUGGAAGAAAAAUGUUCCUCAUUCUGCACUCUUGAAAGUAAGAAAUUGUUACUUUAUUGCAACUUGGUUAGCUAGAGAUCUUAACCAAAACCUGCAAUUAUAAAUGGUUUCUACUCAAAUUUCUGUUAAAAACAAACAAACCACAUUCUAAGAAGAGGAGGGAAGUGCCUGGUGGAGAGAGAAGUGGAGGCAGAAACUCUGAAGAUGUAGACAGCAAAGGAGCAGGACAAGAUGCCCAGAGUCCAGAGGCCACGGCUGAGGAGUGUGGGGAGUUGAGGGCAGAAUUCUGUGGUUACCAUGGGGCUUACGUUCAGAGCAAGCCACGGGCUCCACUGCCUCUUCUGCCCCAUAGUGACGAACUACUUAAUGAGAGCCACUGGAGCUUUUCCUAGGGACUACCAGCAAGUUGCUUUCCAGGACACUGUAGCCUGUUAAUAAUGUAACAGCAAUCAUCGCUGAGCUCUCACCAACUGCCAAGAUGCCACACUAAAUUCUUUUAAAACUCUUGCAGGUAGGUACUGGGGUCAAUUGUAUUGUCAUCUGAGUAUUUACUGCCCUUCCAAGGGAGAGCGGAUACUCUUUUCCCCAUUGAUUUGGAUGUCACCAAUGAUCCCCUCACCCCACCUUCUGCCACUGAAAUGGCAAGCGACCCAGACAGGUGCUCCUGUGUUAGCCAGGGCCAGAGAGAAGAUGACAGGGAGCGGCAGAGCUGCAACUGCUUCACCAUGAACAUGAGCAUGAGCAAGAAAUAAACCUUUGUGCUUGUUUAAUACCGCACAAUGUAUUUAAGCUGACAUUAUCAUGGGGCCGUUGGAGGCUCAGAGAGGGUAACGACCCAAGGUCACACUGCCAGUGGGUGGCAGCGU
rnacentral:lncRNA from 10 species